UCAGUGGAAAGCGGCGGACGGGUGAGUAACGCGUAGGCAACCUGCCCUGUACAGGGGGAUAGCCAUUGGAAACGAUGAUUAAAACCUCAUAAUACCUUUUUCCUGCAUAGGAGAGAGGUCAAAGAUUUAUCGGCAAAGGAUGGGCCUGCGUCUGAUUAGCUGGUUGGUGGGGUAACGGCUCACCAAGGCGACGAUCAGUAGCCGACCUGAGAGGGUGAUCGGCCACAUUGGAACUGAGACACGGUCCAAACUCCUACGGGAGGCAGCAGUGGGGAAUAUUGCACAAUGGGCGAAAGCCUGAUGCAGCAACGCCGCGUGAAGGAGGAAGGCCUUCGGGUCGUAAACUUCUGUCCUUGAGGAAGAAAAUGACGGUACUCAAGGAGGAAGCCCCGGCUAACUACGUGCCAGCAGCCGCGGUAAUACGUAGGGGGCAAGCGUUAUCCGGAAUUAUUGGGCGUAAAGGGUGCGUAGGUGGUUACCUAAGCGCAGGGUAUAAGGCAAUGGCUCAACCAUUGUUCGCCCUGCGAACUGGGCUACUUGAGUGCAGGAGAGGAAAGCGGAAUUCCUAGUGUAGCGGUGAAAUGCGUAGAUAUUAGGAGGAACACCAGUGGCGAAGGCGGCUUUCUGGACUGAAACUGACACUGAGGCACGAAAGCGUGGGGAGCAAACAGGAUUAGAUACCCUGGUAGUCCACGCCGUAAACGAUGAGCACUAGGUGUCGGGGCCGCAAGGCUUCGGUGCCGCAGUCAACGCAUUAAGUGCUCCGCCUGGGGAGUACGCACGCAAGUGUGAAACUCAAAGGAAUUGACGG
rnacentral:rRNA from 1 species